rnacentral:rRNA from 1 species
AGUCGAUCGCGUACUCUGAUCUGACCGGUCGCGCCAAACCGAGCUCUAGCAUCAGCUCGUCGGAGUUCGCACCGGUCGACUCAGAACUCUUCACCAAUGGCCGCCGUCCAGGUCCAAGCCGCAACCCACGCCAUGCCCGUCGAGGAGGCUCCGGCGCCGGCGGCGGUGGAGGCUGUCGAGACGGCCGCGGUGGCGGUGGAGGCUGUCGAGCCGGCCGUCGUCGUUGUCGAGGAGACUACGGUGGCAGCGGUGGAGAUUGUCGAGCCGGCUGUCGCCACAGUCGAGGUGGCAGCGGUGGAGGCUGUCGAGCCGGCCGUUGUCGCUCCCCAGGAGGCCGUGAAGGAGGAAGCUGCUGCACCGGCCGUGACCGAGCUGGCGAAAGAGCCGGAGGCAGUUCCAGCAGAGACCAAAGAGGCCGAGCCCGAGGCAGUCCAGCCGGUCGUCGCCGCUGAGGAGGCCCCUGCUGCGCCGGCAGUGGUCGAGACCAAAGAGCCGGAAGCUGCCCCUGCCGAGGGAACAGAGACCGAAGUGGUGGAGCGUGAGGCGGCACCAGCUGAGGUCGAGACCAAGGAACCAGAGCAAGAAGCUGCUCCAGCUGAGACCGAGACCAAAGAGGCAGAGCCAGCCGCUGCCGAGGCUGAGGCCAAAGAGCCGGUGGCAGAGGAGACACCGGCCGAGGAGGAGGCCGCUGCCCCAGAGGCCGUUGUGGCAGUGCAGGAGGAAGCAGCAACUGCCGAGGCACCAGUGGAGGCUGCCGUCGCCGUCGAGGCAGCACCGGAAGAGACAGAAGCACCAGCUGCUGCUGCUGCCGAGGCAGAGGCUGAGGCCAAAGAGCCGGUGGCAGAGGCGCCGGUCCAGGAGGAGGCAGCGCCCGCAGCCACCGCCGCCGAAGCGUCGUCAGUGCAGGAGGAGGCAGCACCGGCCGAGGCACCUGCGGAUGCGCCCGCGGCCGCCGAGGCGGUGCCGGCAGAGGCACCAGCUGCUGCCGCCGACGCCGACAAGGCCACCGAGUGAGUUGAUGCGCGCGGGUGCGAUCGUGCCCCGUGAGCUAGCCUUUGCCUGGCUUCCGUGCGCGUGUCCUGGCAUGCCAUGGCACCGUACCCAGUUCGUUUAUUAUUGGAUCCGUAUGUGUAGGCGUAUUUCGUGAGUGGUCGUCGUCGUCGUCGCCUGGGUGCAUUGUACGUGACGUAGCUGCGUACAAGGUCUAGCUAGCAGUCGUAUGUGUGUCGUACUCAGGUGGUCUCAAUAAUGAGUCUGUGUCUUGCGUUCCGGGUCCCACUGUCAGUGAUGUCAUGGCGUCACUGGCUUUGGAGCCUAUUUUUCGUCUCCUUUUUCUUGGUAUUUCCGUUGGUUAAUAUAUAUGUGUAGCUAUUUGUUUGUGUACUGUGUUGGUACUAAAGAAAGCGUG